AUGGAGGUUAUCUCAGAUGUCAAAACACUUCCCUGUGAACAUUACUAUUUUGGACACUGGCCAUUUUACAAAUUUCAAUAUUCAUUUUUGCUCCACCGCUGUUUGAUAUUCCUGUGGUACUUAUUCACCAGGCAUGAUGGUAAUAUUAUGGAAACGGUGAGGCAUCAAGAUCUUAAUUUUGCUCUGACAUGGAAUCUAUUCCUAUUUCAUACACAGGUUGGCUGUUAUUUUCUAGCAGAUGCUUUAAGGUUGAUACAUAUAAAAUUCACCCUCUGUUUGGAAUUAAGUAGAGGGGGAAAGGGGAACAAAAACAACAACAACAACAACAAAAGGAUGAAGAGCGUAGUGAGAUGCUUCUGUGGUUUUGAGGAGUUUAAGUGGGAGUGGAAGAUUCCAUGACGGGGUAUUUGGAAGGCCUCAUAUAUAGCCAUAUAGCUAAGUCACCACUGACAGUACAAAGGAAUUCUGGGGAGGUAGAUGGGGCUCAGAUGGGAAAGGAAUAUCAGGUGAGUCAUUAAUAUCUAUACAUUACAAUACUACAGUCAAAGCUUGGCUUAAAGCACUAAAUGUGUGUUACUCCCACCUUAUGUUGGCACAGUAUUGGAAAGGACUGGGCAAUGUGGGUAGAGAAAUGUGGUAGAAAAAUAAAGGGAUGUUAGUCCAAGUUUUAAUUCA
rnacentral:lncRNA from 12 species